GGGGGCUGCUUAUGCAACAGCAAGAGGCUUGUGGUUAAUAAACGGGCAGGCAGAGGUGUGACAAGAGCUCCAAGAAGGUUACGGUCCCUGGAGUGGGUGCCGCGAAUGCAACCGAUGGAAUAAGGUCUGAGAAGGGUGGAAGAACCCACAAAGUGCCCAAAGUCGGACUACAGAGGAAUGCUGAAAUGACUUUGCUACUAGUUGCAGAAUUGUAAUAUCCUGAGCACUAAAAUCCUGCUUAGAAGUCAGAUUACCGGGGCUGGUGAGAUGGCUCAGCGGGUAAGAGCACGGACUGCUCUU